AGUGAACGCUGGCGGUAGGCCUAACACAUGCAAGUCGAACGGCAGCACAGUAAGAGCUUGCUCUUACGGGUGGCGAGUGGCGGACGGGUGAGGAAUACAUCGGAAUCUACUUUUUCGUGGGGGGUGACGGAGGGAAACUUACGCUAAUACCGCAUACGACCUACGGGGGAAAGCAUGGGAUCUUCGGACCUUGCGCGAUUGAAUGAGCCGAUGUCGGAUUAGCUAGUUGGCGAGGUAAAGGCCCACCAAGGCGACGAUCCGUAGCUGGUCUGAGAGGAUGAUCAGCCACACUGGAACUGAGACACGGUCCAGACUCCUACGGGAGGCAGCAGUGGGGAAUAUUGGACAAUGGGCGCAAGCCUGAUCCAGCCAUACCGCGUGGGUGAAGAAGGCCUUCGGGUUGUAAAGCCCUUUUGUUGGGAAAGAAAAGCAGCAGGUUAAUACCACGCUGUUCUGACGGUACCCAAAGAAUAAGCACCGGCUAACUUCGUG
rnacentral:rRNA from 1 species